rnacentral:rRNA from 1 species
AGUGAACGCUGGCGGUAGACCUAACACAUGCAAGUCGAACGGCAGCACAGUAAGAGCUUGCUCUUACGGGUGGCGAGUGGCAGACGGGUGAGGAAUACAUCGGAAUCUACUUUUUCGUGGGGGAUAACGUAGGGAAACUUACGCUAAUACCGCAUACGACCUACGGGUGAAAGCAGGGGAUCUUCGGACCUUGCGCGAUUGAAUGAGCCGAUGUCGGAUUAGCUAGUUGGCGGGGUAAAGGCCCACCAAGGCGACGAUCCGUAGCUGGUCUGAGAGGAUGAUCAGCCACACUGGAACUGAGACACGGUCCAGACUCCUACGGGAGGCAGCAGUGGGGAAUAUUGGACAAUGGGCGCAAGCCUGAUCCAGCCAUACCGCGUGGGUGAAGAAGGCCUUCGGGUUGUAAAGCCCUUUUGUUGGGAAAGAAAAGCAGCAGGUUAAUACCCCGCUGUUCUGACGGUACCCAAAGAAUAAGCACCGGCUAACUUCGU